AAUUUCAUAUUCCCUAAGGUUUGCCAAAAGGAAUGCAACCUUAGGAAAAGUGGUUCAUGAGAGUCAAACUGUAAUAUACGACAAUAAAUCUUAACCUUAAUGAACUGUUGCUGCUCUGUUCUAUCGGAUUUUCAAACAUGCAGAGCUCGGCUUUCACUCUCUCCCUCACCCCUUUCCGCAAACCCUUCCUCCACCAUCUUUCCGUCUCUUCUUCUUCUUUCAUUUCCUCUUUCAGUUCCAAAGCCAACAUCAUCAAUGUGGAUUCUUCAUUUUCAUGUUCAUUCAUACGCCAACCAGCAACACCAUCAUGGCCUCUUUCUUCUUCAUCCUCUUUCAAACUACCCUCCGAUCGCUUCGUCCCCAAGGCUGCCGCGGAGAGUGCCAGCGAAAACCGCAGCAGCGGCGGCGACGUUUUGCUCAGAGCUUUGAAGCUAGGAGCCUUGUUUGGUCUUUGGAUCAUCUUUAACAUAUACUUCAACAUCUACAACAAACAGGUAUUGAAGGUGUACCAUUUUCCUAUAACUGUCACCGCGGUUCAAUUUGCUGUUGGGGCUGCCCUUGUGUCCUUUAUGUGGUGUUCCAAUCUUUACAAGAGGCCAAACCUCAGUGGUGCUCAGCUUGCAGCCAUAUUGCCACUGGCUGUGGUACAUACUUUGGGGAAUCUUUUCACUAAUAUGAGUCUUGGCAAGGUUGCUGUGUCUUUCACACAUACAAUAAAGGCAAUGGAGCCUUUCUUUUCUGUGAUCCUUUCUGCUAUGUUCCUUCGAGAGAUGCCUACUGCAUUGGUGAUUGGCUCCCUUGUGCCUAUUGCUGGUGGGGUGGCACUGGCUUCUGCUACCGAGGCCUCUUUCAAUUGGACUGGAUUUUGGAGUGCAAUGGCUUCUAAUUUGUCAAAUCAAUCUCGUAAUGUUCUUAGCAAAAAGCUCAUGGUUAAGGAGGAGGAAUCAAUGGACAACAUUACCCUCUUCUCAAUAAUUACAGUUAUGUCCUUCCUAUUGACGGCACCUUUGACUCUCAUUAUGGAGGGUUUCAUAUUUACCCCUGCUUAUCUGCAUUCUGCUGGAUUAAAUGUUAAACAAGUGUACAUCAGAUCUUUUCUUGCUGCAUUCUGUUUCCAUGCAUAUCAACAAUAUUUGUGUGCAGGUUGCUUACAUGAUAUUACAGUGGGUGUCACCUGUUACCCACUCCGUGGCAAAUUGUGCUAAGAGAGUUGUGGUUAUUGUGAGCUCUAUCUUGUUCUUCCGUACACCUGUCUCACUUGUCAAUGCAAUUGGAACUGUUAUAGCUCUUGCUGGUGUUUUCUUCUACUCCAGGGUGACCGGAACUAAACCAAAGACUACUUAGUUUUCGUUGUAAAAUUUUGUUACUUACAUAACAAGCCAUUUAGUUAAGUUUUGUUCAUUUUUGUUUAGAGAGAGAGGGUCACUUUUUUUUACCCUUCCUUUUUCUCUCUAGUUUUGUAGUGAUUUUGUUGUGUAUAUCAUUAUUUAGGAAAAUGAUGGUCUGAUUCGAUAUUUUCUCUUUACAUAUUAAUGAUCUCCUAAUGAACAUUUCUAAAAUCAUUUUUUGGGGAAUCAUCUUUUCACUUUUCCUGUUCCCCAAUUAUC